rnacentral:rRNA from 1 species
GUUAGUUGCCAUCAUUCAGUUGGGCACUCUAGCGAGACUGCCGGUAAUAAACCGGAGGAAGGUGGGGAUGACGUCGAAAUCAUCAUGCCCCUUAUGACCUGGGCUACACACGUGCUACAAUGGUUGGUACAACGAGUUGCGAGUCGGUGACGGCGAGCUAAUCUCUUAAAGCCAAUCUCAGUUCGGAUUGUAGGCUGCAACUCGCCUACAUGAAGUCGGAAUCGCUAGUAAUCGCGGAUCAGCACGCCGCGGUGAAUACGUUCCCGGGCCUU